GUUGUCUCGUCCCCCUCCCCCGUAUCCGAACCCCUCAGGCGGAACGUUGUAUCCUUUAUCAGAAUUACGUCAGUGUUACCUGACUCAAGGGGGCGAAGGAAGCUGUGAUCUACACGGGCAGGAUCAACUUAGUGCCCACAUGGGGAGGGACCAGACAAAAGACCGAAGCCAACUCCAGAACAACUGAGGGACAGACGAUGGGAUCAAGAACCACUCGUCAAGAGGAGCACUACACCUGCAACGCUGACACUUCCAAUGUUGCUGAUAUUUAUGGUGUCCAUGGCGAUUACAGAGUGUCACAAACAACUACAAUGGACGCAAGAACAUAUGCAGAAGAUUAAAGUGAUCCCUUUGGAAGCUGGCUGGACGGACUGUUUGGGGGAACGGGUUCACGGUUAAAGCAAUUGCUUAAAGCUCUCGCAGUAGGAUUUGCAAUCUUUGUGUGUAUUCUAAUCUGUCUUCCAUGCUUUGUAGGAUGCUUGCAGAACUGCCUUCAACGAAUGAUGGACAAGACUUUUGACUAUCACAUUGAGUAUCAUAGAUUGCGUGAAAAAUUAUAGAGGGG
rnacentral:lncRNA from 1 species